rnacentral:rRNA from 1 species
AUGUCACCAAAAGCAAAAGCUAUUCAUCCAAGGACCUUUUCUCUUGAUCUUGGAAGCGUCUGCCUACCUGCGGAGAUAUGCAUGAUGGAGAGUGGAGGUUUCUUUGUAAAAAGUUAUAGAGAGAGCAGUGACCCUCACCUAGCUAGCACACACACGGACCAAGUGCACAUGCCCACCACACAGCAGCAGCAUACUACUGCUCCUGCGCAUGCAGAUGACGCAACAGCAGGAUGCGGGAGCACACACGCGGGCAGCAAGGUACAUAACCAAGAGAGGGAUGAGCACACAACCUUUGCGCGCUCGCCAUCGAGGAGUUCAGCCGAGGGCAGAGAGAACCUCCUCGCAUUGCCUUCAGCGCUAACCUACCCGAGGCGACAGUUUCCCUGA